AUAUACAGUAAAUAAAAUAAAAUAGUAGAGCAAACAUUAAGUUAAGUGAAAAAGGUAUUUACAGUGUAAUAUGUAUUAAAUUAAAUUAGAAAAUUAAGUUAAGACAGUAGUGUUGUAGUUCAAGUAAGUUCAAGUAAACAAGGAUUUAGCCAGAGGUAUUAUGUUGUGUUCUGUUGUAAAGUCUUAUUGCCGUUGGCAGGAAUGUUUUCCCGUAUCUGUCCUUGUGACAGUGGAGCUGGAUCAGCCUGUUGGAGAAGAGGGUGGUCCGGGUUGUCCAAUAUGGACAACAGUUUCUUCAGUGUCCUCCUCUCCACCACCUGUUCAGGAUGCUCUUGCUCAUGCAUCCUCCCAUAGACUUCCUGUCAACAAAAGCUUUCCUUUCCUUCACCGGGACCUUGUCGCUUUGACCGAAACAGAGUAACAUGAGUUUCUAUUUGCAGACGGCACGAUUGAAAUUGUAUUGGUGAAAUGAUGUGCUACGAAUUGGAACAGCAUGAUUUUAAUACAUCAAAUCAUUUUCCCCUUUCAACCCUGCUGUUUUAUUUUUUCGCUUGUUUGUGAUUAAUAUUCCCGAAAGAAACCUUUGUUGAAAACAUGUGCUGUUCCUCGUUUUUAACAGACAAUUUCCUUCCUCACUUAGUGUGAUUUUACCCUAAACUUCUAAUCAUCUGCCUUUCCUUUGGCUAUCCAUCACUCUCCAGAAAGCACUGUGAUCAAUUGAACUCUGAUGGGCAUGUUGGCUGUAUCCAUCAAACACGCCUAUUUAUGACAGCCAUUGGAAAUUAAUAUUUAGCUGCUUUCGGUGCACAACUUUGUGGAUGCUAUGUGAGCGCUUGCAUUCCUCUGAGGGCAGGAAGUGUGUGUGUGUGUGUGUGUGUGUGUGUGUGUGUGUGUGUGUGGGGAUAAGUGACAGGGUUAAGGACCUCUGAUGAUGCCCUCCAUCUCUUUACCUGUCUACCAUGUGAGACGCUGCCCAGUGCUAACAGGGAAACUGAAUGCCAAUCAGCAGUGGCCUGCAGGUCAUGUGUGGUCAACAUUAGUUAGAAGAGCGGGGUGAGAAGCUGUAGCGUGGACUUUGUAAUGUUUUAAUGAGCCAUCCGUGGGUGUGUACCUGGUUAUUAGACUUGUGGUCCGUAGUUGCCGGGGGUGCCAGAGGAAACGGGAAACCGUUUUGGACACGUGCGUGUGGAGAAAUGGAGAGUUUUUUGUCUGCCGAAGACCAGACGAGAGCUCAGUUCUACCCAUAGAUGGCGGCAUUACACUCAGAGUGCUCCUCCCCAGUGUCACACCCCUCUUACAUGGCUUUCAGUGCAGCACAACAGAGAUUUUCCCCGUGACACUGUUGAUCCCUAAAGGGGAAUUUUCUUUUCACACCCUGCGGAGGUCAACGCAGGCUGCAGUGUCCUGGAACUGUGGUGCUCUCAUUUUCCUUCUCUAGGACACACGGGCCGGCCAAGUUCCCCUCUGUCAUUGGGCUGCUUAGUGGAUCACGUCACAUUUGGAACGAUUUUUGAAUGCAUGACCAGUCACUUUAUAACACAAUGAGCGUAAAAACUAAUUCCCAUUACAAAUCAAUAUAUUUUCAUGGUGAAUCAGAGGGCAGUCAUUGUGCCACCCGGCCCCAGUGUCACGCAUUGGAGCGUCACUCCCAUCACUUUUAAGUUAAACAAAAAAAUAAACUUGUAAGGGUUAAACAAAAAAGAUCAUUUAUUCUGGUAAGAUAUUUUGUUCAUGUUGGACUGGACCAGGCCAGAUGUUUCCAGGUGUUUCCAGUUUAGCCUGGUGCUCCAACUACAUAUUUACCGGACAGAAUGGAAAGUGUUUUUCAAUCUAACUCUCGGCGGGAAAGCAAAUAUCAAUCUGAGCAUUCUUGAGCAUCAGACCACACCUUUAAAACCAGAGGACCGGCUUAUGGGCUCCCACUCCGCCACGCAGCCGUUAUAAACUGGGUCACACGAUCUGUUGUGCAGAUGCUCCUACGUUCUGUUUACCAUCACGAGCCAUGAAAUUGAUUCUUUUUAUCUGUGUGUUAGUAAGCGUUUUCAUGGUGUGAAACAGGUUGCUCUCCCUCUUUCCUUCCAUGCCCCCGCCAUACAGUACCUGGUAUGUCUGUGUUGUGUGCGAUUUACUCAUUUCAUGGUUGAUUUGUUGCCUCACGAGCUCUGUUAAUAAACAAGAGCCUUUGUUGCCGCUGCCUCUCUGACACCUCUCCGCCUCGGCUGUCAGGCGACUUGUCUUGGAUGAGGUGAGGCGUCAUGCUCAUCAGCAACCUGCCGUUGUAUCGAUUGGGAAAAAAUAAAUACUGUUUAACUCAUUACCAACUUCAACGUCACCUCUGAAGGGAUUACAGCUUCCACUGCCAAAUCAGCAAAUCUAUUAUCUUGUUGUAUGACAGUGGAUUUGCAAAUUAAAAGAUUCUGACUUGAAUUUUUAAUACAACUAAUAUAAAUUUCCUGGCUGCGUUGUCCCUGUACAUGUGUCGUCUAUCUGAAGAAAGUAUUACAUGAGAAUUCCUCAACGGCAUUCAGAAUACAGUUGUGGUGAGAGAAAGCAGUGCUGAGCGUGCGCUAAGCAAGGUACAUUCUUCCAUUCAUCCUCCCCUCUCCUCCCCUCCCCUCUCCUCUCCUCUCCUUGGGUUUUAUGUAUUUCAAGAGCAUCUGCAAGGCUGACACAGUCUACAAAAUUCUUCUCUUUCAUUGCAAGCUUGUGACAAGCUUUAAGGGAAGACGUACAAAAGAACAGCAUAAAUAUGACUAUAAUAAUAGCCACGAUGAUUCUGAGGGUAUAGGUUUUUUCCGAUAUGUUCAAUAAAGAAAAGCAGA
ensembl:lncRNA